rnacentral:rRNA from 1 species
UACGGAGGGUGCGAGCGUUGUUCGGAAUCACUGGGCGUAAAGGGCGUGUAGGCGGUCCGCUAAGUCUGAUGUGAAAGCCCGGGGCUCACCCCCGGAAGUGCAUUGGAACUGGCGGACUCGAGUCCGGCGAGAGGAGAGUGGAAUUCCGUGGUGUAGCGGUGAAAUGCGCAGAUAUCAGGAAGAACACCCGUGGCUAAGGCGGUUCUCUAGUACGGUACUGACGCUGAGACGCGAAAGCGUGGGGAGCAAACAGG